UGCGUAGGCAGCGAGCGUUGUUCGGAGUUACUGGGCGUAAAGGGUGUGUAGGCGGUUGUUUAAGUUUGGUGUGAAAUCUCCCGGCUCAACUGGGAGGGUGCGCCGAAUACUGAGCGACUAGAGUGCGGGAGAGGAAAGUGGAAUUCCUGGUGUAGCGGUGAAAUGCGUAGAUAUCAAGAGGAACACCUGAGGUGAAGACGGGUUGCUGGGCUGACACUGACGCUGAGGCGCGAAAGCUAGGGUAGCAAACGGG
rnacentral:rRNA from 1 species